CAGCAGCCGCGGGAAUACGUAGGGUGCAAGCGUUAAUCGGAAUUACUGGGCGUAAAGCGUGCGCAGGCGGUUCUAUAAGACAGAUGUGAAAUCCCCGGGCUCAACCUGGGAACUGCAUUUGUGACUGUAGAGCUGGAGUACGGCAGAGGGGGAUGGAAUUCCGCGUGUAGCAGUGAAAUGCGUAGAGAUGUGGAGGAAUACCGAUGGCGAAGGUAGCCCCCUGGGCCAAUACUGACGCUCAUGCACGAAAGCGUGGGGAGCAAACAGGAUUAGAUACCCCAGUAGUCCCUGUCUCUUAUAC
rnacentral:rRNA from 1 species